UACGUAGGGGCAAGCGUUGUCCGGAAUGAUUGGGCGUAAAGGGCGCGUAGGCGGCUUUAUAAGUCUGGAGUGAAAGUCCUCUUUUCAAGGGAGGAAUUGCUUUGGAAACUAUAGAGCUUGAGUGCAGGAGAGGUUAUCGGAAUUCCCGGUGUAGCGGUGAAAUGCGUAGAUAUCGGGAGGAACAUCGGUGGCGAAGGCGGGUAACUGGACUGCAACUGACGCUGAGGCGCGAAAGUGUGGGGAGCAAACAGGAUUAGAUACCCGUGUAGUCCCUGAG
rnacentral:rRNA from 1 species